ensembl:lncRNA
AUACAGAGAGAACAGGAGGGAGAGGGAGAGAACAGGAGGGAGAGGUUAACACAGAGAGUACCGGAGGGAGAGGUUAACACAGAGAGAACAGGAGGGAGAGGUUAACACAGAGAGUACAGGAGGGAGAGGUUAACACAGAGAGUACAGGAGGGAGAGGUUAACACAGAGAAAACAGGAGGGAGAGAUUAACACAGAGAGUACAGGAGGGAGAGGUUAACACAGAGAAAACAGGGGGGAGAGGUUAACACAGAGAGAACAGGAGGGAGAGGGAGAUAACAGGAGGGAGAGGUUAACACAGAGAGAACAGGAGGGAGAGGUUAACACACAGAGAACAGGAGGGAGAGGUUAACACAGAGAACAGGAGGGAGAGGGAGAGAACAGGAGGGAGAGGUUAACACAGAGAGAACAUGGGGAGAGGUUAACACAGAGAGUACAGGAGGGAGAGGUUAACACAGAGAACAGGAGGGAGAGGUUAACACAGAGAGUACAGGAGGGAGAGGUUAACACAGAGAGAACAAGAGGGAGAGGUUAACACAGAGAGUACAGGAGGGAGAGGUUAAUACAGAGAACAGGAGGGAGAGGGAGAGAACAGGAGGGAGAGGUUAACACAGAGAGAACAGAAAGGAGAGGUUAACACAGAGAGGACAGGAGGG